GGCAAAACAAACAAGCACACACAAAAGAAGAUGUGACUGAGACCUUGUGUGGCUCAGAAGGCUGAAAACAUGUACCAUUUGAUCCUUUCCUGAGUUUGCUGACCUCUGCUUUAAGAUUAAGAGAAUGAGCCUUGGAAGGGUUGAUUUACUUGAAUUCAAGCCAAAGUUUUUCUAGCUCCAAAACUCAAGGCUUUUCAUCAAAGAAACCAAAAAUACUUGACUGACUUGAACUACAGAACAAGACAAAUGCAUAUGGUCUUAUGUGUACUCGGGGAUAGAGAUUGGGUGCAGUAUCCUGGAGGAAGGCCAUGAAGGAAGCCACGGAG